GGGGCUUUAGCUCAGUUGGUAGAGCGCUGCCUUUGCAAGGCAGAUGUCAGGAGUUCGAAUCUCCUAAGCUCCA
rfam:Streptomyces sp. NRRL S-444 contig148.1, whole genome shotgun sequence.